AAUGAACGCUGGCGGCAGGCCUAACACAUGCAAGUCGAGCGGACGAAGGGAGCUUGCUCCUGGAUUAAGCGGCGGACGGGUGAGUAAGGCCUACGAAUCUGCCCGGUCUUUGGGGAUAACGUACGGAAACGGGCCCUAAUACCGUACACGUUCAGAGGGUGAACGUGGGGGAUCUUCGGAGCUAACGCUAUCUGAUGAGCCUAGGUCGGAUUAGCUAGUUGGUGGGGUAAAGGCCUACCAAGGCGACGAUCCGUAACGGGUCUGAGAGGAUGAUCAGUCACACUGGAACUGAGACACGGUCCAGACUCCUACGGGAGGCAGCAGUAGGGAAUAUUGGACAAUGGGCGAAAGCCUGAUGCAGCAAUGCCGCGUGUGUGAAGAAGGUCUUCGGAUUGUAAAGCUCUUUUAGUUGGGAAGAAGAGCAGUAAGUUAAUCCCUUGCUGUUUUGACGUUACCAACAGAGUAAGCACCGGCUAACUUCGUG
rnacentral:rRNA from 1 species